rnacentral:rRNA from 1 species
UACGGAGGGUGCGAGCGUUAAUCGGAAUUACUGGGCGUAAAGCGCACGCAGGCGGUCGUGUAAGUCGGAUGUGAAAGCCCUGGGCUUAACCUGGGAACUGCAUUCGAAACUGCAAGGCUAGAGUAUGGGAGAGGGAAGCGGAAUUUUCGGUGUAGUGGUGAAAUGCGUAGAUAUAGGAAGGAAAACCACUGGCGAAGGCAGUUUCCUGGCCCGAUACUGACGCUCAGGUGCGAAAGCGUGGGGAUCAAACAGG